CGCCCCCUCGUACUCGGAGGAUAAAGCCACUUCUCUGUCUGAUGACGUCAGGGGGGGGGCAGUUGAGAUGUGACACUCACCGGCUGGCUGCUAAUGAGCGGCGUGUUGAUGGGCUGGCGCGAGUGGUGCGACACGUACAGGUGGCUGCGGCGCGAGGGGGCGGCGGCGGGCGCGGGGGUGGCUCCCUCGUGCUC